CAAUAGCGUAUAUUAAAGUUGUUGCGGUUAAAAAGCUCGUAGUUGGAUUUCUGCCGAGGACGACCGGUCCGCCCUCCGGGUGAGUAUCUGGUUUGGCCUGGGCAUCUUCUUGGAGAACGUAGCUGCACUUGACUGUGUGGUGCGGUGUCCAGGACUUUUACUUUGAGGAAAUUAGAGUGUUUCAAGCAGGCACACGCCUUGAAUACAUUAGCAUGGAAUAAUAAGAUAGGACCUCGGUUCUAUUUUGUUGGUUUCUAGAGCUGAGGUAAUGAUUAAUAGGGAUAGUUGGGGGCAUUCGUAUUUAACUGUCAGAGGUGAAAUUCUUGGAUUUGCUAAAGACGGACUACUGCGAAAGCAUUUGCCAAGGAUGUUUUCAUUGA
rnacentral:rRNA from 1 species